rnacentral:lncRNA from 1 species
GGGAGGCUCUGAGAUAAUUGGAGGCAUGUUGAUGAUGGGGAUAAAGUCCCCAGAACCCUCAUCUCUUCUUGUGCUUCCUGGCUAAGAAGUGAGUGGUUUUGUAGUCUGUCACACAAUUUUCCACACUGUACAGCCAUGUCAGUGGUUCAGCCACGUGUGGCCUGAAACCUCCAAAAUCAUGAGCCAAAAUAAACCUUUUUUAUCUGUAUCCAUCCAUCCAUCUAUCCAUUCAUCCAUCCAUUCAUCCAUCUAUCUGUCUGUCUAUCUAUCUAUCUAUCUAUCUAUCUAUAGUCUAUCUAUCCAUCUAUCCAUCUAUCUCCCUCACUCCCUAUCUAUCUAUCUAUCUAUCUAUCUAUCUAUCUAUCUAUCCAUCCAUCCAUCCAUCUAUACAUCUAUCUAUACAUCUAUGCAUCUAUCCAUCCAUCUAUCUGUCUACCUAUCUAUCUAUCUAUCCAUCCAUCCAUCUAUCCAUUCAUCUAUCUAUCCAUCCAUCCAUCCAUCCAUACAUCUAUCCAUUAAUCUAUCUAUCUAUCCAUCCAUCCAUCUAUCCAUCUAUCCAUUCAUCUAUCUAUCUAUCUAUCUAUCUAUCCAUCCAUCUAUACAUCCAUCAUCUAUCUACUAAUCCAUCCAUCUAUACAUCUAUCUAUCUAUAUAUCUCCCUCACUCCCUAUCUAUCUACUACCUACCUACCUAUUCAUCUAUCCAUCUAUACAUCUAUCUAUCUAUCUCCCUCACUCCCUUUCUAUCUCCCUCCCUCCCUAUCUAUCCAUCUAUCUAUCUAUCUCUAUUCAUCCAUCUGUAUUUAUGUGUAUGUGUGUGUGCACAGAGUCCAGAAGUCAAACUUGGGUGUUAUCCACCUUCCUUAAAUUUUUGAGACAGUGUCAGUGUUCUGAGUCAUCAUGGGUCCAAUGGAAGAAAGAGGGUCACAUUACAGGAUGAAAAACGGCUUUGCUGACAACAGGGAGAUCCAGCCUUUGAAUGAAUGUUGGACAAACAGUUGCACAAACGUAUCUUUAUUGAUUGGUACACAAAAGUUGUUUUGGGGGGUGGCAGAGGAUAUAUCAAGUUCUUUAUACCAAAGCCCCCAAUCUAUUCUAUAUGUUUCCUGAAGGAAACCACCACACCCUGCAACCUCAGCCCUUGCUGCGCACUGUUCUGCAGUGCUUAAUAAUGGAAGACAUUCCAAGUGUGCCAGGAUUGUCUUGUGACCCAAGUCAUGCAAAGGUUGUAAAGCUCCUUCAGAAAGACAACUCUAUAGAUAACAGAAAACAACCAUUGCUUCCUAUUAUGGUUUCUUCAAGGUCAAAGCACUUUUAGAAGACAACUACUCCAUUGUAAUAUCUACCCUAGAUAGAAUGAUUCUACUAGAUUUCCUGCUACAAGCCCAGUCUCUCCCUGGCCUGGAGUUCACCAAGUAGGUUAGACUGGCUGACAAAUGAGCCCUGAGAAUCUCCGCCCCCUCAAUGCCAGCAGGUGCAUGACGUCACAAUCAGCUGCUUUUUUUUCAUGUGAAGGCCAGGGUUUGAACUUGGAUCUUUAAGCUUGCAUUUUUGUUCAUCCAACAUCUUAUCCAUUGAGCUACUUCCUGGUCUCUUUUCUCUUCCUUGAAUUCUAUUGUGGUGAUGGAAAGCUGAUUAGCAGACAGCUCUGUCCUCCGAGAGAGCUUAUCAAAUAGCAGGCACUGGUUCAGCACACUUAAUGAAGACACAUUUAUUGCUAGUUUAACAAAGAAGGAAGUGGAGAUAUGAAUAGAUGAAAUAAGUUGAUAAACAUUAAAUAGCUCAUUAAUGGAAUGAUCAGACCAGGGGAGAGUGACUCCAGAAAGCUUGCUAUUUCUCUUUCAGGAUUUUUUCCAUUAGAACAAUUAGUGUGCUCUAUGAAGUACUAGGGCCUCUGAUGAGCAUCGCCUUCUCGUUAUCGUGGCUGCUAUACUGUCUGAAGUCUAAAAGUUCUGACUUCAGGGAGUUUUGUUCACAAGUAUUUCCUUAAAGUUCCAGGGAUCUUGUAGAAACUGGACAUUUCUGUGACCUCAGGUAGUCCUUUAUUCUUUCCUUGAAUAAUAUUUUUAAAAAAUUAGUUUGAGAGAUUUUCUUAGUUCUGCAAUGUAGAAUUGGGAUUUUGUAAUUAACGCACAAAUAUUGCCCUUCAAAUAAACAGC